rnacentral:rRNA from 1 species
AGUGAACGCUGGCGGUAGGCCUAACACAUGCAAGCCGAACGGCAGCACAGGAGAGCUUGCUCUCUGGGUGGCGAGUGGCGGACGGGUGAGGAAUACAUCGGAAUCUACUCUGUCGUGGGGGAUAACGUAGGGAAACUUACGCUAAUACCGCAUACGACCUACGGGUGAAAGCAGGGGACCUUCGGGCCUUGCGCGAUUGAAUGGGCCGAUGUCGGAUUAGCUAGUUGGCGGGGUAAAGGCCCACCAAGGCGACGAUCCGUAGCUGGUCUGAGAGGAUGAUCAGCCACACUGGAACUGAGACACGGUCCAGACUCCUACGGGAGGCAGCAGUGGGGAAUAUUGGACAAUGGGCGCAAGCCUGAUCCAGCCAUACCGCGUGGGUGAAGAAGGCCUUCGGGUUGUAAAGCCCUUUUGUUGGGAAAGAAAUCCAGCUGGCUAAUACCCGGUUGGGAUGACGGUACCCAAAGAAUAAGCACCGGCUAACUUCGUGCCAGCAGCCGCGGUAA